rnacentral:rRNA from 1 species
UACGAAGGGGGGCUAGCGUUGCUCGGAAUUACUGGGCGUAAAGGGAGCGUAGGCGGAUAGUUUAGUCAGAGGUGAAAGCCCAGGGCUCAACCUUGGAACUGCCUUUGAUACUGGCUAUCUUGAGUAUGGGAGAGGUGAGUGGAACUCCGAGUGUAGAGGUGAAAUUCGUAGAUAUUCGGAAGAACACCAGUGGCGAAGGCGACUCACUGGCCCCAUUACUGACGCUGAGGCUCGAAAGCGUGGGGGAGCAAACAGG